ACUCCUACGGGAGGCAGCAGUGGGGAAUAUUGCACAAUGGGGGAACCCGUAGAUGCAGCCAUGCCGCGUGUGUGAAGAAGGCCUUCGGGUUGUAAAGCACUUUCAGUUGUGAGGAAGGUGGUGUCGUUAAUAGCGGGAUCAUUUGACGUUAGCAACAGAAGAAGCACCGGCUAACUCCGUGCCAGCAGCCGCGGUAAUACGGAGGGUGCGAGCGUUAAUCGGAAUUACUGGGCGUAAAGCGCAUGCAGGUGGUUUGUUAAGUCAGAUGUGAAAGCCGGC
rnacentral:rRNA from 1 species